rnacentral:rRNA from 1 species
GCGCACCAGGCGAGAAACCUCCGCAAUACACGAAAGUGUGACGGGCCAUCCCGAGUGCCGUCCGCUGAGGACGGCUUUUCCCCAGUGUACACAGCUGGGGGAAUAAGGAGAGGGCAAGCCUGGUGUCAGCCGCCGCGGUAAUACCAGCUCUCCGAGUGGUGGGGACGCUUAUUGGGCCUAAAGCAUCCGUAGCCGGCUGGGCAAGGUCCUCCGUUAAAUCCAACGAUUCAAUCGUUGGGCUGCGGGGGAUACUGUCCAGCUUGGGGGCGGGGAGAGGCCGACGGUAUUCCCGGGGUAGGGGUGAAAUCCUAUAAUCCCGGGAGGACCACCAGUGGCGAAGGCUGUCGGCUAGAACGCGCCCGACGGUGAGGGAUGAAAGCUGGGGGAGCGAACCGGAUUAGAUACCGCGUAGU